AGUGUCAAGGGAUGGGAAUCGAACCCACGACCUUCCGCUUACCGGGCAGAUGCCAUGACCACUAGGCCACAUGACC